AUACGGAGGAUCCGAGCGUUAUCCGGAUUUAUUGGGUUUAAAGGGUGCGCAGGCGGGAGAUUAAGUCGGCGGUGAAAUUUUGCAGCUCAACUGUAAAAGUGCCUUCGAAACUGGUUUCCUUGAGUGUAGAUGAAGUAGGCGGAAUUUGUGGUGUAGCGGUGAAAUUCAUAGAUAUCACGAGGAACUCCGAUUGCGCAGGCAGCUUACUAAACUACUACUGACGCUCAGGCACGAAGGCGUGGGGAUCAAACAGGAUUAGAUACCCUGGUAGUCCACGCAGUAAACGAUGAUUACUAGCUGUUUGCGAUACAAUGUAAGCGGCUGAGCGAAAGCGUUAAGUAAUCCACCUGGGGAGUACGUUCGCAAGAAUGAAACUCAAAGGAAUUGACGGGG
rnacentral:rRNA from 1 species